GCCUACGGCCACGCCACCCUGAAUAAGCCCAAUGUCUGAUCUCGGAAACUAAGCAGGGUCAGGGUAGUACUUGGAUGGGAGACCACUUAGGAAGACUAGCUGCCGUAGGCA
rnacentral:rRNA from 1 species